GUACGUAGGGGGCAAGCGUUAUCCGGAUUUACUGGGUGUAAAGGGAGCGCAGGCGGUCUGGCAAGUCUGAUGUGAAAUACCGGGGCUUAACUCCGGAACUGCAUUGGAAACUGUCAGACUAGAGUGCCGGAGAGGUAAGUGGAAUUCCUAGUGUAGCGGUGAAAUGCGUAGAUAUUAGGAGGAACACCAGUGGCGAAGGCGGCUUACUGGACGGUAACUGACGCUGAGGCUCGAAAGCGUGGGGAGC
rnacentral:rRNA from 1 species